AACAUAUUAGAUUUAUUGAUGUGAUAAUUAUGCAUCAAACACAAGAGAUGAGCUUACAUGAGGCGAAAAAGAAUUAUAAAUGAAGGGUAAAGGGGAAAAAGUGAGACAACUGUUCAUCCGAGAGAGAUUCUUCUUUUCUCCUCUUCUUCUUCUUCUCUUUUCCUUCCUUGUUUGUUGUCCCUUUCCCUCUCGAAAAAGCCCUUUCUCUAAGCUUACCUGCCAUAUAUAUAUAUAUAGUUCCUAGGACUUCUAUUCAAUAGUUUUUGACCAACAUGCUUUCGAUGAUUUGACCCCGAGGAUGGCCGAGGUGUUCUUUGCUAUUUCGCCACCUGAGCGGGAUCCCAACUUGGUCGACCCCCUAUCAUUCCUAUUGGGGGCAACCACUAUGAUCAGAUUUUGACCCAUACAAUAGGGUUCUUUAAUUUUCUCCAAACAAAUUAGGUUGGAGUUUUCCGUACAAUAAUGUAAGUUGAAUUUAUUAUCCUAUUUUCUGUCUCCCAAUGUAAUUCUAAAGAAACAGAAAAGGACCAAAGGCACAGAGCCAAAACCGUGUGGUCUGUUCCAUGGCAAUGGCAGAGCACGAUGCCAAGCCUUUUCUCUUGUGUCGUUUCGUUAUUUCUUUUACAAGGACUGGUAUGUAGGGUUGGGGUCGCAUUGUUUUGUCGUAAGGAACUGUUGGAGUGCACAAGAAGUUGGAACAAAUGACCUACAAGGGCCGUAGUGAAUUGUUGUAUCGGUUAAAAUUUGGACUGGACUUAAUAACUGCAAAUGGACGUGGUCGAGGAUUAAGCCGACCACGGGCCAAUGGCGAGGAGUCGUCUUAAGGAGGAUUAGUGCCGAGGUCAAGUAAAGAAUGUACGGAAGCAACGGUAGAACAAGUUUAGAAUAGAAAGAAGGAAUAUUCCUUUGGAUAUUCUUUCAGUUGUACUUUAGAGUUUCUUAGGAAUAUCCCCUAUAAAUAGGAAGAGAUAAAGAACAAAAAGGGAAAUCUUCACUUUUGGGAUAAGAACACAUUGUAAAGGUUGACUACAGAGAAUAUACAAAGCUUGUCUUG